rnacentral:rRNA from 1 species
CUAAUACCGAAUGAUAGAGUGUGGCGCAUGCCACGCUCUUGAAAGAUGGUUUCGGCUAUCGCUUACAGAUGGGCCCGCGGUGCAUUAGCUAGUUGGUAGGGUAAUGGCCUACCAAGGCAACGAUGCAUAGCCGACCUGAGAGGGUGAUCGGCCACACUGGGACUAAUUGUGGCCCAGACUCCUACGGGAGGCAGCAGUAGGGAAUCUUCCGCAAUGGACGAAAGUCUGACGGAGCAACGCCGCGUGUAUGAAGAAGGUUUUCGGAUCGUAAAGUACUGUUGUUAGAGAAGAACAAGGAUAAGAGUAACUGCUUGUCCCUUGACGGUAUCUAACCAGAAAGCCACGGCUAACUACGUGCCAGCAGCCGCGGUAAUACGUAGGUGGCAAGCGUUGUCCGGAUUUAUUGGGCGUAAAGCGCGCGCAGGCGGUCUUUUAAGUCUGAUGUGAAAGCCCCCGGCUUAACCGGGGAGGGUCAUUGGAAACUGGAAGACUGGAGUGCAGAAGAGGAGAGUGGAAUUCCACGUGUAGCGGUGAAAUGCGUAGAUAUGUGGAGGAACACCAGUGGCGAAGGCGACUCUCUGGUCUGUAACUGACGCUGAGGCGCGAAAGCGUGGGGAGCAAACAGGAUUAGAUACCCUGGUAGUCCACGCCGUAAACGAUGAGUGCUAAGUGUUAGGGGGUUUCCGCCCCUUAGUGCUGCAGCUAACGCAUUAAGCACUCCGCCUGGGGAGUACGACCGCAAGGUUGAAAAUCAAAGGAAUUGACGGGGGCCCGCACAAGCGGUGGAGCAUGUGGUUUAAUUUGAAGCAACACGAAGAACCUUACCAGGUCUUGACAUCCUUUGACCACUCUGGAGACAGAGCUUUCCCUUUGGGGACAAAGUGACAGGUGGUGCAUGGUUGUCGUCAGCUCGUGUCGUGAGAUGUUGGGUUAAGUCCCGCAACGAGCGCAACCCUUGAUUUUAGUUGCCAGCAUUUAGUUGGGCACUCUAAAGUGACAGCCGGUGCAAGCCGGAGGAAGGUGGGGGGGACGUCAAAUCAUCAUGCCCCUUAUGACCUGGGCUACACACGUGCUACAAUGGAUGGUACAAAGGGUCGCGAAGCCGCGAGGUGGAGCCAAUCCCAUAAAACCAUUCUCAGUUCGGAUUGUAGGCUGCAACUCGCCUACAUGAAGCCGGGAUCGCUUGUAAUUGUGGUAUCUGCCAUGC